rnacentral:hammerhead_ribozyme from 1 species
ACCCAACUGACGAGCCCCAAAUGGGACGAAACGCAUGUCAUGGAU